rnacentral:rRNA from 1 species
GACGAACGCUGGCGGCGUGCCUAACACAUGCAAGUCGAAUGAAGCAUAGCAAUAUGCUUAGUGGUGGACGGGUGAGUAACGCGUGAACAAUCUGCCCUGUACAAAGGAAUAGCCUCGGGAAACCGGGAUUAAAACCGUAUGACACUUUAGUAUCGCAUGAUAAGAAAGUCAAAUCGAAUAGAGGUAUGGGAUGAGUUCGCGUCUGAUUAGCUGGUUGGCGGGGUAACGGCCCACCAAGGCGACGAUCAGUAGCCGGCCUGAGAGGGUGAACGGCCACACUGGAACUGAGACACGGUCCAGACUCCUACGGGAGGCAGCAGUGGGGAAUAUUGCACAAUGGAGGGAACUCUGAUGCAGCGACGCCGCGUGAGUGAAGAAGGUCUUCGGAUCGUAAACUCUGUCCUUGGUGAAGAAAGGACGGUAGCCAAGGAGGAAGCCCCGGUAACCUACGUGCCAGCAGCCGCGGUAAACGUGCGUG